CCCACCCUACCCACCAGUAUCUCCUACUUCUUCGUCCUUCCAGGCGCUGGGCUGCCCAGAGGAGAAGAAGACCCAAGUUGGUGAAAUAAAAAGACCCAUUACAUCUUCUGGAGAAGUUGGAAGGGGGUUGUAAUGGGUUGAAUGGUGCCCCCGCAAAAGGUAUGUCCCUUUUCUAACCCCCAGAACUUGUGAAUGUGACCCUAUUUGUAAUUAAGUGUCUUGAGAUGAGAUGAUCCUGGAUUAUCCGGUGGGCUCUAAAUUCAAUGGUAGGUGUUGUAUUUAUAAGAGACACACAGAGGAGAAGACAGACACACAGCACAGAUGAUGUGAGGAUGGAGGCAGAGACCGGAGUGAAGUGGCUGCAAUCUAGGUCUGCUGGUAGCCGCCAGAAGCUGGGAGAGAGGCACGGGAUGGAUUCUCCCGCCACCAUCUUGGUUUUGGACUUCUGACCUCCAAAACUGUGAGAGAAUAAAUUUCUGUUGUUUUAAGCUCCCACGUUUGUUACAACUGCUCCAGGAAACUAAUACAGGGAUGGACUUUGGCAGAACAACAGAUGGAAGUUGCUGGCCCACAGGGAGCCCUUGCUGGAUGGGACUUUCCACACACAGGGCUUCAUUCCCUCCUCCCCAUAGGUAGCGAGAGAAGGCAAGCACGGCUCUCUGAUGGGGCCGAUUCAGCCCUGGGGGCCCACAACGGAAGUGGCCUGGGCUGAAGCCUCCUGAGCCAGGGGUCUCCCCACAUCCCCUCCCUUAGUCAAGUGGAGCGACCUCCCUGGGUGUCCCUUUAAAUGGUAAAUCUGAGAGAGCAGCCCAGACAGUGGGGGAUCGUAGAACACUUGGGAGCAGGCAGAGUGGAGUUGGGGGCCUGGCCGUUUUGGGGUUGUCUGGGGCUGCUGACUGCUGGCACCCAGGGACCUUAGGGCCUUUGGGGGCCAAUGGAAUCUCACAGUUCCCCCGGGGGUGGUGGUGGGGACAGGGCGCCCUCAGCCUGUGGGAGCAGGCUGGCCCCUGAUAGCUCAGUGCUCAGACCACACAGAACAAGAUUCUGGGGCCCUUUUUAGACAGCUCUGCCCACCGUGCCAGUCUGUCUCCAAAUCCACUUCCACCACCUCUCACGUUUCCCUGCAGAACUUGGCAUCCUCAGCCCGACUACACCAUUCGGGGGCCCGGCUCCUGCUCAGCUCGGUGAUUCCCACCACAGCUCCAGGAAGCAGGUGCAGCAGCACGGACCGCACGACCGCAGGGCCUCAGGGUGACCGGACACCAGGCCUGGACUUACUCUCAUCCAGAGAGUUCCCUGGAGUGGCUGCAGACCCCAAAGGAAGGCCGCAGCUCUGUGCGUGGGAGUAAAUCCUGGCCAAGGGGCAGCUGGCGAGGACGCUUCCUUGCAGGGUUCCUGAGCUGAGCUUUCUUGUGGGAAAAGGCCCCUCCCAGCUGCUAUGAGUCAGCUGGGCCAGCAGGUGGGCUGGGGUGCCACGCCCACUGCAGGCUCUCCCCUCUGUACCCUCACCUCUAACAGGGCCAGCUCAGGGGCCACUAAUGAAUUCUGCAGGGCUCACAUGCCAGGCAGGAGAGGGAAGCUGCUCCGGGAACCACCCCCGGGCAGAGCGGACCCCAGGGACGCCUGUGGGAGAGGGAACAGAGGCGGCAGUUUCACACCCUGUCACAAUGCAGGUAGCAGUUUCCUUUCUGGGGACUGGAAUGUGACCUACUUCCCUGUAACAAGAUGCGACUUCAGCACUUGGAUGGAAGAUGCAGGUGAAGGCUGCGUUCCUCCCCAAACAGAGCGAGAAUGAGGAGAGUCUGUGCCCUGAUGCGUCCACACACUGCUCCCCCGGCCUCGAACAUCCCCACUCAGCUCGUCCAUCUAGAAAACCCCUCUCUGUGAAUCGUAAGCAGCUGGAGGGACCUCCCUGCCCCCAACUAGGGCAGCCUUCCACCACCUCUCCAUGCUGAGCUGCCCACACUGGGGGUAAAGUCGGAGGCUUUUGAGCUGGUUACAGAGCCAUUCAGGCUGUGAAAGAGGGCUGUCUGCCCUGUGUGUGAUUCCCUCCUCAGCCCCCAGCACAGUGGCUGGCACUCAGUGCCGUGUGUAACAUCUGUGGGAUGUGGACGCACGGAUUCAACUCUGAGCUCAGUGUCCUCAUCUGGCAACAGGGCUAGUGGACAAUAGCUCCUUUCAAUAGAUCAAUGAAUAGGCUUUAUUGAGUCCUUCAUAUUGACAAACUCAGGAAGAAUAUAUAUAGUGGGAGGCUAAAUAAUGGCUUCUGAAGACAUCCAGGGCCUAACCCCUAGGACCUGUGAAUAUUUAUAUAGAUAUACACGUGUGUGUGUGUGUGCACGUGCACGUGCGUGCGUGCCUCUCAGGGCAGUCAGUGCCUGGCACAUGGUAAUUGCCCAAUAAAUGGAAAUUGUCUUA